UGAGGGAAUAUUUGGGGUCAAUGGUCGCGAGACUGAACCAGCCAAGUAGCGUGCAGGAUGACGGCCCUCUGGGUUGUAAACUGCUUUUAGUUGGGAAUAAAAGGCGGUACGUGUACCGCGUAUUGUAUGUACCAUCAGAAAAGGACCGGCUAAUUCCGUGCCAGCAGCCGCGGUAAUACGGAAGGUCCAGGCGUUAUCCGGAUUUAUUGGGUUUAAAGGGAGCGUAGGCGGAUUUUUAAGUCAGUUGUGAAAGUUUGAGGCUCAACCUUAAAAUUGCAGUUGAAACUGGAAGUCUUGAGUGCACGCAGAGGUGCCGGAAUUCAUGGUGUAGCGGUGAAAUGCUUAGAUAUCAUGAAGAACUCCGAUCGCGAAGGCAAGUGCCUGGAGUGCUACUGACGCUGAGGCUCGAAAGUGCGGGGUAUCAAACA
rnacentral:rRNA from 1 species